rnacentral:rRNA from 1 species
UACAGAGACGGCAAGCGUUGUUCGGAUUCAUUGGGCGUAAAGGGUGCGUAGGCGGUGAGGUAAGUUGGAUGUGAAAUCCCAAGGCCUAACCUUGGAAGGGCAUCCAAAACUGCCUUGCUCGAGGACUGGAAGGGAGACUGGAAUUCUCGGUGUAGCAGUGAAAUGCGUAGAUAUCGAGAGGAACACCGGUGGCGAAGGCGGGUCUCUGGACAGUUCCUGACGCUGAGGCACGAAAGCCAGGGUAGCAAACGGG